ensembl:lncRNA
GUAUGUUUGAAAGUUUGCAUCAUGACAGGGAAAAAGAAAAAAAAAGAAGACUUCUUUAACAGUUACUAGUCUUUUCAAAUAAAGAGAUAAUUCUAAUGACCAGAUUGGAAGUCUAAAUCAAACGUAUCACAUUAAGGAAUGUACCUUCAAGUUUGUUGUUAAAUUUUAAGUUGGUAAGCCUGACUUGCAGGCCAUUGAGGAUCAGAAUAAAAUGUGAUUUACUAAAGGAAUUGAAUGACAGCUUAUGGUCUGCAUUCAUUGCCACUGGAUAAUUUUUUUAAGACUUUAUUUUUUAGAGUCGUUCUAGGUUCAGAGCAAAAUCAAACGGAAGGUACAGAGAUUUCUCGUCUCUCCCCUGUCUGCACACUUGCAUAGUCUACCCUAUUAUCAAUAUUCCCCACCAGAGUGGUGCACUUAUUAAACUGAUAAAUUGUAUGUUGACCCGUCAUUGUCACCCUAAAUUGGUAGUGUACACUAGGGUUCACUCUCAGUCUUGUAUAUUCUGUGGCUUUGAGUAAAUGUGUAUGACAUAUAUCCACCAUUAUGAUAUAUACAGAAUACUUUCACCUCACUAGAGAAUUCUUGCUACUUCUUUGCUCCUGUUGAAUGAGGAGGUGACUCUGGUAGCCAUGUGUGGUUCCUUUGAACCUCAUGAGUGUGAUUCCCUAUAGGUAGAGCCAACGAGGAAGACUGAGGCCAGACCUCUCAUCUCACAGGGUACCUAGCUGUCCUCUAUCCCCACACCUCAGACUCCUCAGGAGAGAUGUCUGUGGAGCUGUGGAAAGGUACCUUCUUUAUGCAAAUGAAGAGACUAUGUGCUUGGAUUUUCUCGAUGACGAUUCCUGAUUCGUGGCCCUGGCAGUCUUGGGGAAGCGUUGUCGAGUUUCUUCAAUCCAGACCUUGGGGCCUCCUUUUUCUCCACAUCACUCCCACCCAGUUGAUCGAACCACUUUCUAGGACAUAUGUGCUUACAGGAUGUUUUUCAAGAUUACGAGAUUAUACUUUACAGUUUGGAAACUGAGCUACAGAGAGAAGUAAGUUCCAUCCAGGCCAGGACCCACCGUCUUGCUGGAGGGCUGUGUACUUGACCAUGCUGCUGGGCUGCAAUUCUGUCUCAUUUAAGGAAGAACGGACCAGUGCAAAAAAGAGGGAUAAAGGACAGAGAGUUAUUUCUUGAAGAGAGCCCACGAUAUGUAAGUUUAAGGAGAACAUUAAUUUACUCUGCAGUUAUUUAUCAGAUGCCCACAAGGGCCAGGCAUCAUGCUAAAGUCUGAGAAUACAGAUGGUUGUGAUGUUCACCCCCCACACCCAUGAGGAGGAAUGGUGACAGUAACAACAACUACUGGUUAUGGUUUGUAAUUUACUCCAUGCUCUACUGAGUAUCUUACAUGCAGAAUCUCAUUUAAUCUUCACCAUAAUGAAGACCGAAGGGUGUGUUAUUAUCAUCCACAGUUUACAAAUGAGAGAAUGAUGGAGGAGAAAGUUUAAACAACUGGCCAGUUCCAAAGGCCACUUGGUGGAAGACCUACCCUUUGACUGUACACCAUCCAACUCUGAGCCAGUACUUUUAGAAACUGAGCAGGUGAUCCACAAGCGUGCCCUGACUUCCUGAGAGCUAGGUGGGGAGCAGGUGGGAGGGGGAGGAAGUAGCCUAGAUUGGGGUAAGAGCAGAGAGCAACAAGUGAAAGGGAAUGCCAGCACAGCUCCUGAAGAUGGGGACUGAGGAGAAGAGGUGAGAGGGAGAGCAUAUCACUCUCUGAAAACUUUGAAGAGCACAGCACUUUAGGCACCCAGAGACAGCUGUCCCUGGAAACUCAGACACCAAGGGGAAAUGAUAGGAGAUGAGGCUGGGAAUGUGGGUCAGCAGCCCACUUCUAUAGGCCUAGUAGGCUGGGUAAAAGCUAUUAGAAGUUGUAAAUGAAUUCAGUUUUUGUAUUUCAUCACACAGACCUUAUGCAAAACAGGGAGUGUAUGUUAGAGUUAGCUAGUUAUUCACUAAAAACUUAUGGUCUUCUUUCUAUCAUGUGUGCUUGUCCCUGGGGGCAGCUGUCUAAACAGGCUGCCUUUUUAAAAAUUUCUGUUUUUUGAAAGAUUUUAUUUAUUUAUUUGACAGAGAGAGAGUACAAACAGGGGGAGAAGGAGAAGGAGAAGGGGGCUUCCUGCUCCCUGCCAAGCAGGGAGCCUGACACGGGGCUCCAUCCUAGGACCCCAGGAUCAUGACCUGAGCCAAAGGCAGACGCUUAACCAACUGAGCCACCCAGGCACCCCAGGGGCUACUUUUUCUGACCCACCUCCUUGCUUUCAAUAUGUAGGCACAUGAUAUUUGUUGCCACGGGAUGUGAAUGGAAGUAAUAUGUAUCACUUCCAUGCUGGAAUCUUGAAGAGACUGGUAUGUCUUACCUGGGCUCUUUUUACAUUUCUAAUCCCUAGGGGAGACAACUCGGAGCCCUGGGGUGAUGGCAGAGCCACAAGAUGGAAGCAGCCUGGGUCCCUGACUCACCAUCACCAUCCCUGUGCAUCACUUGGUGCACAGCUCCAAGUGGAUGGGAUUUCUUCGAAAAUGAGAAAUAAACCUCCAGGGUGUUAAGCCA